rnacentral:rRNA from 1 species
UUCUGACCUCGAAUCAGGUGGGACUACCCGCUGAACUUAAGCAUAUCAAUAAGCGGAGGAAAAGAAACUAACAAGGAUUCCCUUAGUAACUGCGAGUGAAGUGGGAUGAGCUCAAAUUUAAAAUCUGGUGGUCUUUGGCUGCCCGAGUUGUAAUCUAGAGAAGUGUUUUCUGUGCUGGACUGUGUUUAAGUUUCCUGGAUAUGGAACAUCAUAGAGGGUGAGAAUCCCGUCCUUAACACAGACACCCCAGUGCUCUGUGAUGCACUCUCGACGAGUCGAGUUGUUUGGGAUUGCAGCUCAAAAUGGGAGGUAA